rnacentral:misc_RNA from 1 species
AUGAUGAACUGUUACAUAUGCUUCAGCAUAAACAGGAUCACUAAAUCCUGUAAGCUGCAGUACCCUGCUUAGCUUAUUAGCAUCAUUCUCAUCCUUGACGAAUUCUCCAGUGGCACGUUUCAAAUCAUCCUGGACUUCAUCUUCCAACUCCAGUUGGCUCAUUCCCUUCCUACUCUUCAAAUGGUAGAAAUCAAUGAGGUCAUCUGGCUGGGAGCGAGAAAUUUGUGCCUUUGCUUUGAUCUCCUCUGUCUCUCGUAGUUGUUUAUCAGAAAGCAUAUUAACAAAACUCUCGCGACAAGAGCUCAACCAGAUCUUCCUAACCUCAUUGCCCGUAUUACAGAGCAAUCUUAUGCAAAGAACUAUUCUGUCAUGAGAAUCAUUGUCAAUUGGGUGAGGAAGAGCAUGAGACUGCCCUAGCUGUAUCAUUGAGACCAUGAUCAGUAAUGCAUUUGUUGUAGCUUUGUUCAAUUCAAGUUUUGAUGGCUGAACUUCUUCCAGCCUCAGAAUGAGCUUAGUCAGUGUACAAGCAACAACUGCUCCCAAGAAGAAAUCACCAGUGAGAAGGAGGGAUCUCAAGUUUCCAGUGGUUAAAGAUCCUUGAACAACUGUCGGGGGAGAGAAAGCAGUUUCAGAUGCAGCACUUUGAGUAGCAUAUGUCCCAUCAGCAAGUACAGCUGGUCUUCUAGAUGACAAAGUAGUAAUGGAGUUUGCUUGCUGAGUCUUUUUUGAAGAAUCAGCAGCUUCACUUUCCUCAGAAACUGAGAAAAAUGGUAGGUCUCCAAGGCACUGCUUGAUAGUUGCGAUGCCACUCUCAACUUCAGAGAGAGAUAGACAAUACUCUCCAAUGAUCCAAAGGGCACAGGAACAAACACGUGCUGCUCGAAUUUGGUAGAAAGUGUCUAGUAACCUUGUCACAAUGGAAACCCUUAAUUUUGGGUUUGUUUCAAUAAUCUCCCGGACAAAAACGACCACGUCAAUUGCAGAAGCAACGUUGCUGUCACCCAAGAAGUCCAUCAAUAGAUGGACCACAGUGCUUGCCACUUCUGGGAACUUUAUGGCACAUGAAUGAAUGGCUUGGAUGAGCAUUUGGCGGUACUCACCAUUUUUCUCAAGCUCACCACUUUGAGUUUUCACAACUUCUUUCUUCAGAGUGAGAACAACCUCAUUAAUAUUCCUGGGAGUGAUCAAUUCAAGAACAAUGUCUAGUGUUUUUCUACGGAUAUCAAGGUUCGGGCUGGAAAGUGCUCUAAGGACAUCCAUUAUCAUAUCAACCAUGACAUCUUUGUGCGAAGAUUUCAAUUCAUUCAGUCGAUCAAGCACGAUAAGCUUAACAUUGUUGUCACUUUGAGAUUGAAGAAGUUGACAGUAGGUGUUGGCUGCAGCUCUUAUAGCACUUGGGGCAGAAGAUAAAGAAACAAGAGUUCCAGCACAUUCAUAUGUAACAGCAGCAGAAGGGGCAGUUAACAAUGAUAUAAUAAUUUUGAUAUACCUCCCUUUCUCCGCUUUGUUUGUCCUGCAAACUUUUCGAACCAAAUCCAAGACAACCAUUUGAAGUAAGUCACCCCAAUCAGAUACUCUAUCAACAUGGGUCAAGAGGUAAUUGAUAGCACGUUCCUGAGCACAUUGGAAAAGCAUCAGAAAUGCAUUCCUUUUAGCUGAUGGAUCUUGCUCUGUGGUAAGAAUGUUCUCAAUCUUUUCUGGUGCAUCUGCCAGGAGCUGCUCGCCCUGUGGAAGCUUGUAAACAGCCAUCACAGCAAGUAUUGCAUUCCGGCGAACAUAUGGAUGACGGUGCUCCAAGUUGCUCAUAAUAGAUGGAAUCAGAGGUUCAAUUAUAUCAACCUCA